rnacentral:misc_RNA from 1 species
UAGAGUUUUCAAAACUCCCAAACCCAUGUUAACUUACCUAUGUUGCCUCGGCGGGAGCCUACCCUGUACCUACCCUGUAACGGGUUACCCGGGGGCGGCCCCGCCGGUGGACCUUUUAACUCUUGUUAUUUUAUGUAAUCUGAGAGUCUUAUUUUAAAUAAGUCA